CCCUGACAGCCGCACAAUGUGGCUGACACUUGCCACGACAGGAGAUCAUCAUG
ncrna:unclassified sequences Mu-gpT-DE RNA